rnacentral:rRNA from 1 species
UAGGGAAUCUUCCGCAAUGGGCGAAAGCCUGACGGAGCAACGCCGCGUGAGUGAUGAAGGUCUUCGGAUCGUAAAACUCUGUUAUUAGGGAAGAACAAAUGUGUAAGUAACUAUGCACAUCUUGACGGUACCUAAUCAGAAAGCCACGGCUAACUACGUGCCAGCAGCCGCGGUAAUACGUAGGUGGCAAGCGUUAUCCGGAAUUAUUGGGCGUAAAGCGCGCGUAGGCGGUCAAUUAAGUCUGAUGUGAAAGCCCCCGGCUCAACCGGGGAGGUCAUUGGAAACUGGUUGACUUGAGUGCAGAAGAGGAGAGUGGAAUUCCAUGUGUAGCGGUGAAAUGCGUAGAUAUAUGGAGGAACACCAGUGGCGAAGGCGACUCUCUGGUCUGUAACUGACGCUGAGGUUCGAAAGCGUGGGUAGCAAACAGG